rnacentral:rRNA from 1 species
AACGUUUAGAGUUUGAUCCUGGCUCAGGACGAACGCUGGCGGUGCGCCUAAUGCAUGCAAGUCGAACGGGCAAUGGGGCUUCGGCCCCGGCGCUAGUGGCAGACGGCUGAGUAACACGUAAGUGAUCUGCCCCGGAGAGGGGGAUAAUCCGGAGAAAUCCGGCCUAAUACCCCGUACGUUCAUAUGGUUACGGCUGUAUGAAGAAAGGUUUCGACCGCUCUGGGAGGAGCUUGCGGCCUAUCAGGUAGUUGGCGGGGUAAUGGCCCACCAAGCCUAAGACGGGUAACCGAUGUGAGAGCAUGAUCGGUCAGAGGGGGACUGAGACACGGCCCCCACUCCUACGGGAGGCAGCAGCAGGGAAUCUUGCGCAAUGGGCGAAAGCCUGACGCAGCGACACCGCGUGGGGGAAGAAGGCUUUAGGGUUGUAAACCCCUUUUCUGUGGGAAGAGAUAGGACGGUACCACAGGAAUAAGCAUCGGCUAACUACGUGCCAGCAGCCGCGGUAAUACGUAGGAUGCAAGCGUUGUCCGGAUUUACUGGGCGUAAAGGGUGUGUAGGCGGCAUGUUAAGUCUCAUGUGAAAUCUCCCGGCUCAACUGGGAGCGGUCAUGGGAAACUGGCAAGCUCGAGGGCAGCAGAGGAAAGCGGAAUUCCGGGAGUAGUGGUGGAAUGCGUAGAUACCCGGAGGAACACCAGAGGCGAAGGCGGCUUUCUGGGCUGUACCUGACGCUGAGACACGAAAGCGUGGGGAGCAAACCGGAUUAGAUACCCGGGUAGUCCACGCCCUAAACGAUGGAUACUAGAUAUAGGGGGUAUCGACCCCUCCUGUGUCGGAGCUAACGCGAUAAGUAUCCCGCCUGGGGAGUACGGCCGCAAGGCUAAAACUCAAAGGAAUUGACGGGUCCCCGCACAAGCGGCGGAGCGUGUGGUUUAAUUCGAUGAUAAGCGAAGAACCUUACCUGGGCUUGACAUGCAUUUGCCAGCCCGUGAAAGCGGGUCUUCUUUCGAGACAAGUGCACAGAUGUUGCAUGGCUGUCGUCAGCUCGUGCCGUGAGGUGUUGGGUUAAGUCCCGCAACGAGCGCAACCCUCGUCGUUAGUUACUAUGUCUAGCGAGACUGCUCCUAAAAGGGGAGAGGAAGGUGGGGACGAGGUCAAGUCGGCACGGCUCUUACGCCCAGGGCUACACACACGCUACAAUGGUCAGAACAGAGGGUCGCGAUGGCGCGAGCCGGAGCUAAUCCCACAAAUCUGGCCCCAGUUGGAAUUGCAGGCUGAAACUCGCCUGCAUGAACGCGGAGUCGCUAGUAAUCGCAGGUCAGCACACUGCGGUGAAUACGUUCCCGGGGAUUGUACACACCGCCCGUCAAGUCAUGGAAGUCGGUAACACUUGAAGUCGCUGGGCUAACCGUAAGGAGGCAGGCGCCGAGGGUGGGACUGGUGACUGGGACUAAGUCGUAACAAGGUAGCUGUACCGGAAGGUGCGGCUGGAUCACCUCCUUU